rnacentral:rRNA from 1 species
GACGAACGCUGGCGGCGUGCUUAACACAUGCAAGUCGAACGCUGAAGCUUGGUGCUUGCACUGGGUGGAUGAGUGGCGAACGGGUGAGUAAUACGUGAGUAACCUGCCCUUGACUCUGGGAUAAGCCUGGGAAACUGGGUCUAAUACUGGAUACGACAUGUCACCGCAUGGUGGUGUGUGGAAAGGGUUUUACUGGUUUUGGAUGGGCUCACGGCCUAUCAGCUUGUUGGUGGGGUAAUGGCUCACCAAGGCGACGACGGGUAGCCGGCCUGAGAGGGUGACCGGCCACACUGGGACUGAGACACGGCCCAGACUCCUACGGGAGGCAGCAGUGGGGAAUAUUGCACAAUGGGCGGAAGCCUGAUGCAGCGACGCCGCGUGAGGGAUGACGGCCUUCGGGUUGUAAACCUCCUUCAGCACGGAAGAAGCGAAAGUGACGGUACGUGCAGAAGAGGCGCCGGCUAACUACGUG